GCCGGUGUGGCGGAAUGGCAGACGCGGGGCACUCAAAAUGCUCUGUCGAAAGACGUGUGGGUUCGAGUCCCACCACCGGUACGA
rnacentral:tRNA from 2 species